GGGGUUGACUGGUUUCGACAGCAAGAUCGAUGGGUAAGUAAGCAUGCAGAGAACCGUAGCGCGAUCUCUUUAAUCCCUUGCUACACAAUUUUAACUGGCGACCAAGAGUUUGCUCUUGCAGCAUAAUCUGAAUUAUAGUAGGAUUUUGCGCUUUCCCGAAGUAUAGUAAGGAAGCAAGAUGUCUCCCAAAUGCUUCGUUCUGCGGCGUUUGAUUUUGAGGCAUAGCAAUGCGGAAAUAAGUUCUGAAAGACUUCGGUUCAGGAUCGAAAACCAAAGAAGAUAAGUUGCGAAUUGGGUGUCUGUGCUCUGUUUGCAAUCGAAAAAUAAUUACAGAAUAAGCAUGUAGAAAUCUUACGUAUUGCUUGUUUGGACGAGGGUUCGAAUCCCUCCAACUCCACCA
rnacentral:tmRNA from 1 species